rnacentral:rRNA from 1 species
AAUGGACGAAAGUCUGACCGAGCGAUGCCGCGUACGGGAUGAAGGCCCUCGGGUUGUAAACCGCUGUCAGUUGUUAGGAAUGCAUGGUGGUUAUCCAUCAUGUUUGACCGAUCUUCAGAGGAAGGACGGGCUAAGUACGUGCCAGCAGCCGCGGUAACACGUACCGUCCAAACGUUAUUCGGUAUCACUGGGCUUAAAGCGUUCGUAGGCGGCCUAGAAGGUGAGAUGUGAAAGCCCACGGCCCAACCGUGGAAUUGCGUUUCAAACCACUAGGCUUGAGGAAGACAGGGGUGAUGGGAACUUAUGGUGGAGCGGUGAAAUGCGUUGAUAUCAUAGGGAACACCGGUGGCGAAAGCGCAUCACUGGGUCUUUUCUGACGCUGAGGAACGAAAGCUAGGGUAGCGAACGGGAUU